UGGGGAAUAUUGCACAAUGGGCGCAAGCCUGAUGCAGCCAUGCCGCGUGUAUGAAGAAGGCCUUCGGGUUGUAAAGUACUUUCAGCGGGGAGGAAGGGAGUAAAGUUAAUACCUUUGCUCAUUGACGUUACCCGCAGAAGAAGCACCGGCUAACUCCGUGCCAGCAGCCGCGGUAAUACGGAGGGUGCAAGCGUUAAUCGGAAUUACUGGGCGUAAAGCGCACGCAGGCGGUUUGUUAAGUCAGAUGUGAAAUCCCCGGGCUCAACCUGGGAACUGCAUCUGAUACUGGCAAGCUUGAGUCUCGUAGAGGGGGGUAGAAUUCCAGGUGUAGCGGUGAAAGGCGUAGAGAUCUGGAGGAAUACCGGUGGCGAAGGCGGCCCCCUGGACGAAGACUGACGCUCAGGUGCGAAAGCGUGGGGAGCAAACAGG
rnacentral:rRNA from 1 species